GACGAACGCUGGCGGCGUGCCUAAUACAUGCAAGUCGAGCGGACGAAUCGAAAGCUUGCUUUUGAUUCGUUAGCGGCGGACGGGUGAGUAACACGUGGGCAACCUGCCCUGUAGACGGGGAUAACAUCGAGAAAUCGGUGCUAAUACCGGAUAACACGAAAUGUCGCAUGAUGUUUCGUUGAAAGACGGCGCAAGCUGCCGCUACAGGAUGGGCCCGCGGCGCAUUAGCUAGUUGGUGAGGUAACGGCUCACCAAGGCGACGAUACGUAGCCGACCUGAGAGGGUGAUCGGCCACACUGGGACUGAGACACGGCCCAGACUCCUACGGGAGGCAGCAGUAGGGAAUCUUCCGCAAUGGGCGAAAGACUGACGGAGCAACGCCGCGUGAGCGAAGAAGGCCUUCGGGUCGUAAAGCUCUGUUGUUAGGGAAGAACAAGUAACGCAGUAACUAGCGUUGCCGUGACGGUACCUAACGAGAAAGCCACGGCUAACUACGUG
rnacentral:rRNA from 1 species